rnacentral:Y_RNA from 1 species
GGUUGGUCCGAGUGCAGUGGUGUUUACAACUAAUUGAUCACAACCAGUUACAGAUUCCUUUGUUCCUUCUCCACUCCCACAGCUCCACUUGACCAGCCUUUA